CGGGUUGUAAAGCACUUUCAGUAGGGAGGAAGGUAGUGUAGUUAACACCUGCACUAUUUGACGUUACCUACAGAAGAAGCACCGGCUAACUCCGUGCCAGCAGCCGCGGUAAUACGGAGGGUGCGAGCGUUAAUCGGAAUUACUGGGCGUAAAGCGCAUGCAGGCGGCCUGUUAAGUCAGAUGUGAAAGACCCGGGGCGUUAACCUCGGAAUUGCAUUUGAAACUGGCAGGCUAGAGUCUUGUAGAGGGGGGUAGGAAGUUUCUAGGUGUAGCGGUGAAAUAGCGUAGAGAUCUGAAGGAAUACCAGUGGCGAAGGCGGCCCCCCUGGACAAAGACUGACGCUCAGAUGCGAAAGCGUGGGGAGCAAACAGGAUUAGAUACCCCUGGUAG
rnacentral:rRNA from 1 species